rnacentral:snoRNA from 1 species
UGGUAUCUGAUGAGUUUAUCGGAUUCCCCUUCAAGACUUAAUGUGUGAUGUGAACUCCGACUAUCUGAUACA